GACCUCGUAGUUCAGUUGGCUAGAGCGUUGGCUGUACUAAAGUCUUCCCCUCGCUGGCGCGGGUUCGAAUCCCACCAAGGCCA
rnacentral:tRNA from 1 species